rnacentral:rRNA from 1 species
ACUACUGGAGGAAGAAGGGGGGAAGAGGGGAAAAGGGGAGAAAGACUGAUCCAGCCAGGCCGCGGGUGGGAAGAAGGCCUUCGGGUUGGAAAGCACUGGCAGUGGGGAAGAAAGCCUUGGGGCUAAUACCCUCGAGGAAGGACAUCACCCACAGAAGAAGCACCGGCUAACUCCGUGCCAGCAGCCGCGGUAAUACGGAGGGUGCGAGCGUUAAUCGGAAUUACUGGGCGUAAAGCGCGCGUAGGCGGUCUGAUAAGCCGGUUGUGAAAGCCCCGGGCUCAACCUGGGAACGGCAUCCGGAACUGUCAGGCUAGAGUGCAGGAGAGGAAGGUAGAAUUCCCGGUGUAGCGGUGAAAUGCGUAGAGAUCGGGAGGAAUACCAGUGGCGAAGGCGGCCUUCUGGACUGACACUGACGCUGAGGUGCGAAAGCGUGGGUAGCAAACAGGAUUAGAUACCCCAGUAGUC